CUCAGUAACCCACCAAGCUCUGUCACCUAUGCUGAAGACCUCAUCCUAAGGGCCUACCUGCCGACUAACAACCCAACCAGUGAGCCACCAUUUUUACUGACUGUACGAUAUGCUCAAGCACAGGACCUACAAGCACAAACACAGGUGACAUUUGCUGUUCAGUAUGAAUGAACCAGGCUGCACGCAAGAGAGACACAGACAUCGCUCUGGGAGUCCUUGGUUCUUUGGCCGUUUUCACUGCCAUGCUGGAGACAAGCAGCUGGAGACGGAGGAACGGACUAGAGUUCAUAGACGUCGUGACUAUUGUGAAAUAUCUUGCCUACUUUGCUGGAGCCCUGUCGAACACCUUCUUCCUUGUGACGUAUGGUACAGGUGUUUACUGGCUUAUUGUGUACAAGGGCCAGCAGUCAACAGUUGAGGUUACACUGCCACCUGCUGGCAGUGAGAUUGAAACUGGCUUCGUCAUCUACGUGUCUUGUGCUUUUGCGCUGAAGGCACUGCAACUCGUUCACAUCCUUAUGGUUCAGAUGACGGUGUCAAUCUUUCUGAUAGAUUGGGAAAAGCCUAAGGGAAGACAAUUGCCUAAAUCAACAGAAAACAAACCAAGUCCCUCAUCGGUCAGCAUCUGGCGUACGUACUUCAUAGCUAAUGAGUGGAGUGAGAUUCAGACUAAGAGGAAGAUAAAUCCAAUCCUGCAACUUGUCCUUGUUCUGCUACUGCUGGAGGUUAUUGGCUUAAAGAACAUCGCUAGAAGAGACCUGAAUUUAAAUCUACACCCUGGAUCUGAUGUUGAUCUGGCACCGUGGAGCCCGAUACUCCGAUACGGGAUAUCAAUAUCAAUGUGGCUGGCAGUCGGCUUAGCUCAGGCGCUCUUCUUCAUUGGAAUCUGGGAACGAUUUGUUGAAGACAAGAUAAAGCAGUUCGUAGACUUGUGUUCCUUAAGCAAUGUAUCAGUCUUGAUCUUACUGCACAGGUGUUAUGGUUUCUACAUCCAUGGACGAUCGGUACACGGUCAUGCUGAUAUUGGUAUGGAGACAAUGUUCCUCAAUCUCAAGAAAGAAGAGGAUAAUCUUUGUGCAAUGAGAGGCCUUGAGCCCAACAUGGAGAUCCAGACCUUUGAAGUCCUUAUUUCUAACAAGGUCAGACAACAAUAUGACAGGAUACUAUCACCAUUGAAUGAGGUGGCAAGAAGGAAUCAUGCUGGGCACGUGGAUUCACCCACUCUGCAGCAAAGUCUAAAAGGCGUACUUCACAAUGAACAAGUUCCUUUCCGUCCUUUCUUGAACACGCUUACAAAGACAUGGACUACGUUGUGAAGGAAAAGCUCUUUCUGGAGCGAAUCUUGGACUUCGAGUUUCAGCGAUCAGAUGACAGAAGUUUCUUCUAUAAUGAUGAGCGGAUGCUGUUCAGCAAUGCCCUUUAUUAUGGCCACGAGUUAGUGCUGCUGCUUUUUGAUGCUCUGCUGUUCUCUGUCGUGGAUCUGGGGACGCAAGACUUUGUUCUGGCCGCAAUCAUCACUUACUUUGUACAGAAGGUCCUGAAAACAGUAAGGGAGGCGAUUUCAAGGAGGAAUUUGGCCACAAAGACACUAGUUGAUGAAAGAUUUCUCAUCUAGAAUUUCUCCUCUACCGAGGACCACUGUGUGGAUGGGACCAGUUCAAUCUUACAGCGCUCACAUGAGUGUGACUUUAUACAAGAGUAAUAAUUUGAUGUGUCUGGUCCAAUGCUCAUUACCAAGGACAGUCAAUAGUGAAGCCACAGCAGAAAACCUGGUCCCCGUCGCAGAUGGAAACAGCACGGGCACAGUUGAGAUGCAGCCAAGAAAAAAAGGAAAAUUAAAAGACAGAUUGCUGACUGAAGUGGCAAAUGGAGUUUCAGAAUCAGGUUUAUUAUCACUGACAUAUGUCGUGAAAUUUGUUGUUUUGUGGCAGCAGUAUAGUGCAAGAGGUAAAAAUUACUAUAAGUUACAAAAACAAAUAAAUAGUGCAAAAGAGGAAUAACGAGGUAGUGUUCAUGGACCUUUCCGAAAUCUGAUGGCGGAGAGGAAGAAGCUGUUCCUGAAACGUUGAGUCUGGGUCUUCAGGCUCCUGUACCUCCUCCCCCAUGGUAGUAACGUGAAGAGGGCAUGUCCUGGGUGGUGAGGGUCCUUAAUGAUGGAUGCCGCUUUCUUGAAACACCACCUCUUGAAGAUGUCCUCGAUGAUGGGGAGGGUUGUGCCUUUGAUGGAGCUGGCUGAGUCUACAACCCUCUGCAGCCCCUUUCAAUUCUGCCCAUUGGAGCCUCCAUACCAGGCGGUGAUGCAACCAGUCAGAAUGCUCUCCACCGUAUAUUUGUAGAAAUUUGCAAGAGUCUUUGGUGACGUACCAAAUCUCCUCAAACUCCUAAUGAAGUAGUGCCUUCUUCCCAUCUGGCUGUGCUUCCUUGCUUUGAAGAAGGCACAAAGAUUGCUUACUGCCCAUUGAAGGUGGUCUUCCGGAAGACCAACUUGCGAAGGUUUCUCAUCUCCACAGGCAGGUUUAUUAUGUCGCUGAAUGAUCUCCCCUGUUGAUGACUAAUAAUUGGCUCUUGGGUGCCAACAGCUUCACAAUGCAAUUGCAGUUUGAGGCAUUAACACCUCAGGAUAGAAUGAGAGGAAGUAUGGGGGAGGCAGGGGAAUGUUGCCAGCUCAGGUUGGACUUACUGCCUAAGGUUGUGUCACAUGAUCCCCGCUGCAGACCUCCAACCCCUGUCGCACAUUCCAUUGGCCCAUAUGCUUGGUGCCACCAGCUUCCCAUUGCCAACUGGAGAUAUAAACUCUUUGUUAACCAAUCGAUCAGCAGUGUUUCAAUGGGCCAAAUGGCCUCCUCUGUGCCAUUAAGGAAACAGUUUCCUUGCAACGUGAUUGGAUUGGCCUCAACAGUAAGUGACAUGGCCACUUACUGUUGCGGCUAAAUAUUUUUCGAUCAAGUCAAAUGAAAACAACUAUAUUUAUUAUUCACGUAAUUUUUCUCACUGUGUCGACCACGGGAGGUUCAUCUUCAGUCCCUGUAAACUCUGGGCAGUCUUGGAGUGUUGGCAACAUUAGAUGUGGAAAAGUAAUUGGGGCAGGUUGAGAGAGGAGGGGGAGUGGAGAGAGUUUGCUGUGGUUACUCACAAGAUGGAAAUACUGGGUGGAGGUGGGGUUGAAGCUACAGUUUUGGGUAUGUGAAGCUGUUCUUAAUAACCUGGGAAAAUGGAGACUUGAGGCCCAGGUCUCUGUGGCAGCAUGGGAUUGUAUCAACGUGGCAGACCCUUCCCUUCAAUUAAGGGUGCCUUAUUGAGGAAUCUGUGGGGAUAUAGAUACACUCUGCUAGAAAUUCAUACUUGACAGCAUUGAAUGCAUCGUACUCUUCCUCCAAAGUUCCUUCAGCUGAUUUUCAGAGGCAGAAUAUAAUGUGUUGAUACCGAUGCAUUUAGUACAACUAACCAGGGAUAACUUAGAAGCAACUAAGUUUUCCUUCUACCAGGUUGUUACUAGACUAAAUUUGCAUGAAAGAUCUAGAAGUAUGAUUUUAAAUCCUGCCACUGCCAUUGGGGAAUUUAUAGUCAGAUUCGAUUAAUUAAAUCAAUUUGAAUAUAAAGUCAUUAUCAGAGUGGUGAUAAAGCCCAUCUGUUUCACCCAUGUCCUUUGGCAGAGGAAGGCUGAUGUGCUGCUGUCUGCACCACAUGUGUCUCAGACCUCAGCAAAAUGAUUAACUCUUAGUUGCUGUUGAAGUUGCCCAGCAAAGCACUCACACAAACUGCUGGAGGAACUCA